rnacentral:rRNA from 1 species
CGUUCUCGCCGGAUGUAGGAACCGACCCCGGGGGACCGCCGGGGGCAACCCGGCGCCCCCGAGACGGGGCGAACCACGGUGAAAUGACGGAUCGUCGGCCCCGCGCCGGCGACUCGCCGAAUGAGUUUCUGACCUAUCAACUCGAGACGGCGGGGUAGAGGCCCGCCGCGGUAACGACGGGUAACGGGGAAUCAGGGUUCGAUUCCGGAGAGGGAGCCCCGAGAAACGGCUACCACUUCCAAGGAAGGCAGCAGGCGCGCAACUUACCCUAAUCUCGAUUCGAGGAGGUAGUGACAAAAAAUAACAAUACCUGGCCUCAAUAGGUCGGGUAAUUGGAAUGAGUACAAUUUAAAUCCCCUUAACGAGGAUCAAUUGGAGGGCAAGUCUGGUGCCAGCAGCCGCGGUAAUUCCAGCUCCAAGAGCAUAUAUUAAAGUUGUUGCAGUUAAAAAGCUCGUAGUUGA